rnacentral:rRNA from 1 species
AUUGAACGCUGGCGGCAGGCCUAACACAUGCAAGUCGAACGAGUGGCGGACGGGUGAGUAAUGGCUGGGAAACUGCCUGAUGGAGGGGGAUAACUACUGGAAACGGUAGCUAAUACCGCAUACCAUCGGAUGUGCCCAGAUGGGAUUAGCUAGUAGGGGGGGUAAAGGCUCACCUAGGCGACGAUCCCUAGCUGGUCUGAGAGGAUGACCGUCCACACUGGAACGGAGACACGGUCCAGACGCCGACGGAAGGCAGCAGUGGGGAAUAUUGCACAAUGGGCGCAAGCCUGAUGAAGCCAUGCCGCGUGUAUGAAGAAGGCCUUCGGGUUGUAAAGUACUUUCAGCGGGGAGGCGUUACCCGCAGAAGAAGCACCGGCUAACUCCGUGCCAGCAGCCGCGGUAAUUC